GGUUGAUCCCGCCGGAGGCCACUGCUAUUGGGAUUCGAUUAAGCCAUGCGAGUCGAAUGGUGCCCGCAAGGGUAACCAUGGCGUACGGCUCAGUAAAACAUGGAUAACCUGCCCUCAGGUGGGGGAUAACCUCGGGAAACUGAGGAUAAUACCCCAUAGGUCUGGGAAGCUGGAACGCUCCCAGGCUGAAAGCGUUAACGCCUGAGGAUGGGUCCACGGCCUAUCAGGUAGUAGUAAGUAUAAAGGACUUACUAGCCGACGACGGGUACGGGCGAUGGGAGUCGGAGCCCGGAGAUGGACUCUGAGACACGAGUCCAGGCCCUACGGGGCGCAGCAGGCGCGAAAACUUCGCAAUAGGCGGAAGCCUGACGAGGGAAUCCCAAGUGCCACCGGCUUUGCUGGUGGCUGUUCUUCAGUCCAAAAAGCUGGAGGAGUAAGGGCUGGGUAAGACGGGUGCCAGCCGCCGCGGUCAUACCCGCAGCCCAAGUGGGGGCCACUAUUAUUGGGUCUAAAACAUCCGUAGCCGGCCUUGUAAAUGCCUAGGGAAAUUGAGUGGCUUAACCAUUCGAAGUCUAGGUAGACUGCAAGGCUUGAAACCGGGAGAGGUCAGGGGUACUCUUGGGGUAGCGGUAAAAUGCUGUAAUCCUGAGAGGACC
rnacentral:rRNA from 1 species